rnacentral:rRNA from 1 species
GGAAGGGGUGUAUUUAUUAGAUAAAAAACCAACGCCCUUCGGGGCUUCUUGGUGAUUCAUGAUAACUUCACGGAUCGCAUAGCCUUGCGCUGGCGACGGUUCAUUCAAAUUUCUGCCCUAUCAACUUUCGAUGGUAAGGUAUUGGCUUACCAUGGUUUCAACGGGUAACGGGGAAUUAGGGUUCGAUUCCGGAGAGGGAGCCUGAGAAACGGCUACCACAUCCAAGGAAGGCAGCAGGCGCGCAAAUUACCCAAUCCCGACACGGGGAGGUAGUGACAAUAAAUACUGAUACAGGGCUCUUUUGGGUCUUGUAAUUGGAAUGAGUACAAUUUAAACCUCUUAACGAGGAACAAUUGGAGGGCAAGUCUGGUGCCAGCAGCCGCGGUAAUUCCAGCUCCAAUAGCGUAUAUUAAAGUUGUUGCAGUUAAAAAGCUCGUAGUUGAAACUUGGGCCUGGCUGGCGGGUCCGCCUCACCGCGUGCACUCGUCCGGCCGGGCCUUCCUUCUGAAGAACCUCAUGCCCUUCACUGGGCGUGCUGGGGAACCAGGACUUUUAC